UUUGGUGUAGUCAAUAAAGCAGAAGAAGAUGUUUUUCUGGAACGCUCUAGUUUUUUUGAUGAUCCAACAGAUGUUGGCAAUUUGUAAUGCUAACACAUUACAGUGAGCAUAUAAUGAAGUUCAGGGUCCACUGAAAGUUGAAUCUUCUGCCAUCUUGGACUUAGUUGGUUCUAACCAGCUUUUGUCAUAAUGUCAAUGGCUAGGUCAUUCUCUUAAAGAUUGUGCCCAGCCCCCUUCUCUCCUGUUUCUGUUAGCCUGGGAAGUCCAGUGCCUAUAGUCUCUUGCCCUCUCUGAAGUUUUGUCCACUCCACAGGUCCCUGCCAGGAAGCGGUUCUUCCCUAGGGCUCUGGGACCCAUGUCUUCCCAACACUGACAGUAAAUCCUCCACCGCUAUGCAUGGCAGGAGAGACCUUCACAGUUCUGGUAGCUCCCUGUUUCCCAGUACUUCUGGUGUCUUUUCACAGGUGUGCUCUACACCAGCCAUGCCCAGGAACUGCCUGCAGCUGUGUCUGCCAUGAUCUCACAGCUUAGCUUUUGCUGUCCUUUCUGUGUAGACUCUCCGCCCACCCCGUCCUCCCAAAUUAAAUUAGCUGAUGUUCAUUCUUAAGCUUAAGCUCACUCGUUGCCUAAUUGAAGAAGUUUUAUUCUAUCUGCCUCCAGACACGCUGUGCUACCUGCACGGACACACCACGGCACCCAGCCUAUUGCAUUGCAGUAGCCUGAGUACAGGUCUCUUUUUCACUGCUCGUCUCAAAGCAAUUUGCUUUUCACCUGUGUCAUGAGCUCCUGCCUGAAACACAGCGCGUGCCCAGUGUAGAUUGAUGUCAACUUUCUUCUUAACUGCAGCCCGUCUCUUAGCCUUCCUCUUCCCUCUGUCCUCUCCCAACUGCCCUUGCCCUCUGCACUUGACUCCUUGGCAGCACUGUCCACAUUUGAGCCAUUUGCGUUAUUAAUGUGACUACCGGGUGACCACAGACUUGAAUGAAUUACAUGUUCCCUCUCCCUGCCUUCUAAUUACAGAACCAGGAAGGGAUCUCGGUGGUCAAUCAGUCCAACCUCCCAUUUAGCACAGGAGCUACUCUAUGGAUGGUUCUUCAGUCUUUGAUAAAAUAACUCCUCAGGCUUUUAUAGUACACAGAUAUAAUGGCAGCAUCAUGAAAAACACCAGCAAGUAGGGUGUAUAUUACCAAGGAGACAUCCUGGCAUGCAGAAGCUGAUUCACUCUAUGGGUGAGAACAGAGCAGUCCUGAACCAAUAGGGGCAGAGAAAAAAAGGGGGGGGCAUUCUAUUUUUUUUUCAGCAAAGCUUAUUUUUCUUUCAGAUUAUGGACUAGGUGAGAAGGAUGCUUGAUUACCUUAAUCUUGUGGGCUAUGGCCUGUGGGCUGGUUUUGGCUGGGGUUCUACAGGUGGAACGGCUACAGCCUUCUGCUCAGUCUGCGAGGAGCCUUUGUUAUCUCCGCAGCGAGUUUUGGACUCUGACAGUUUUUGAAGAAGAAAAAAAGAGGCAAGGACAGUGGCUCUUUGUGUCUCUCAAAGGCAGCACUGUUUCUUCGGGCUGGCACAGCCCACGGACAACGUGCUGCCCUUCAUGCGGGAUUGUUUUACUGCCCUGACGCAUGGACUGCCCGGUGCCAGCCUUCAUGUAGGAGAGAAAGGCUGGAUGCCCCCUGCGAUGCCAGGACAACUCACAGAGCAGCAAAUGGAGAUCACCUUCUGAUGAUGACUGUCAACAAUCCCUCCUCAUCCUCUCUUCGUGUCCCUGGGGAGCAAGUUUCAGGGUGUGCUUCCUAUUACCUGACUCACUUCAGGCUCCUGUCGCCUAGAGGUCAAUGGUGGUCUUGACCUUAGAAGCAUUUUUGAAGACCAGCUCUGUGUCACCCACUGCACCGGGUGCUGAGAUACCAAGAGAAAACAUUCCAGUCUUCACAGAGCUUCUAGAUCUUAUUCUAGAGGUAACUGGGAGCUUUUGAAAGAUUUUUGUGGAUGAUCCUGGUCAGGGACACGGUACAGACCUUGAGUCCGGACAAUAAAUGAUCCCACGCAGAAGGCGGCUCAUUGCGAGGGGGCUAUGCCUGUCCAAGGAACACUGCUGCCACAAGAGACAUAAAUGCAAGUUUCAGAAAGCUGGGAUGUGUCCUUCGUGCCCACUAGACUGUGUGGUUUUUGAGUUCCUUUUAUUCCUGGACUUCUAAAACUUGGCUUAAUAAAAAGUAAUACGUGCUCAACAAGUUUGUUCAAUGAAUGAAUGAAUGAAUGAUUCUGCCUUCUGGGAGACAAGGGACCAAGUGUCAUCUUUCUUUCAUGUGAUUCAUAUCAGAUUUUCUGAUACUUGAAGACCACUAUUCCUUUCAGUCAGUUCAGUUGCUCAGUUGUGUCUGACUCUUGGC